rnacentral:rRNA from 1 species
AUUGAACGCUGGCGGAAUGCUUUACACAUGCAAGUCGAACGGCAGCACGGGUGCUUGCACCUGGUGGCGAGUGGCGAACGGGUGAGUAAUACAUCGGAACGUACCCAGUCGUGGGGGAUAACGUAGCGAAAGUUACGCUAAUCCCGCAUACGUCCUGAGGGAGAAAGCGGGGGACCGUAAGGCCUCGCGCGAUGGGAGCGGCCGAUGGCGGAUUAGCUAGUUGGGGGGGUAAAGGCCUACCAAGGCGACGAUCCGUAGCGGGUCUGAGAGGACGGCCCGCCACACUGGAACUGAGACACGGUCCAGACUCCUACGGGAGGCAGCAGUGGGGAAUUUUGGACAAUGGGCGAAAGCCUGAUCCAGCCAUUCCGCGUGAGUGAAGAAGGCCUUCGGGUUGUAAAGCUCUUUCGGCAGGGAAGAAACGGCUUGGGAUAAUACCCCGGGCUAAUGACGGUACCUGAAGAAGAAGCACCGGCUAACUACGUGCCAGCCGCCGCCGUAA